rnacentral:lncRNA from 1 species
UUUUUUGAUAUGGUCAAAACAAAUAUAUCAGAUAAAAGGAUUGGGAAAUAAAGAUGAGAAUGAUUAGUCAAAGAUUAGGGUUGUAUGCAGACGUGCGGGUCUGGGUCUGUGAUGAUGCGAUUUCAUUGGUGCAUAAGGCUCUAGAAAAGCUUUGAAGCUUUGGUCACGUGGAAGGUGUUAUAGUUUUGAAGUUUUCAACAUUAUCUUUAAGAAAUUGGGAGAUAUAUGCAAUGAAUUAUCUUGGAGAAAGUGAACGGCAAAGGGAUAUGGCGCACAGAACUUGGGAUAAAGUUUGAUUGGACUCUACAAACAUUCUGGCCAUGCCAAGGAAAUAUCCAACCUUAUAAAUACAUGAGGUUGUGGAACGUGAAGAGCCCCUCCAAUUCAACACACAAACUGCCAUGGGCAAACUCUUGCUUUACGCGAAACCUCUCAACAACCUUGAGAUUUUUAAUUUCUUUUUCCGCCGACAUACCUUCAGUUUGGAUAAACAGCACUGUAGAGGCAACCAGCGAACAUCUUCAGUUUGGAUAAACAACACUGUUGCCGUAGAAUCAGCCGACCAUGAAGCACCUUCAGUUUGGAUAAACAGCACUGCAACAGGGUCGACUGGUUAUCUAUCCAAGUCUCGGUCGAGAAGGAUUUUCGGAUCCUUACUGGUAGAGGUCAUCUCAUAAGCCUUCUCGGUGAAGUGAGGUGUUACUUGAUGCAAAAAUUAACUUAACACACAAAUUAAACCAUCUUGUAUCAAUUGUAGUAAAGAAUGUAAGUAGGAAUCAUUCUGGACCGGGGAUUAGGAGGGCUUGCUAAUAACCUCUAAGAUGACUCAAAAACGUAAAACAAAGUUUAAAACACUAAGCUAGACUCAAAGAAUGUAAAACUAAACUAUAAAACACUAAAACAACUCAAAAGACUCAAAACAGCACAAAACAAGCUAAAAGACUCAAAUCUACCACUAAGAGUAAAAUUGGACGAAAAUAGGUUUUAACUUGGUUCAAAACACUUAAAAACACAAACGAAAUCACUUUGUAACUAAUGUGACUCAACAAAGUAAAGGGGGAUUUGGUUUUGAUGAAUUUGAAAACAAAACAAGUAAAGUAAAGAACUUGUGAAAUCUGGACGAAUUUGAGUAAAGUUAAUGGAUAAAAGGCUAGCUAGGAGGUUCUUCUCCACACAUGUCACACUUGCAUACAAAACGAUUUGCAAUUGCUUUUCAAUAUACCAUGAAUUCCCAACACCCCAGAUUAACCGUGAAUUGCACUAAUUAACACUCAGAUUUUCCUAAAGUUAUUGAAUUGGAUGAUUGCAUACGACAACCCAAAGUAUUCCCCACAAGUUCCCCACAUGAAUUGCAUAAUAGAGAUACAAGCAAAGAUCAUUAAAUUCUAUGAAAAUCAUAAGCAUUGACAAGGCACUUGUUACUAUGAAUUGCAUGAAACUUAUGCCAAGAAUUUACUUAACGCGGUUGUGACAAGCAACCUUUACUACUUGUGAAUAUAAGUUCAUAACGAUUAGGUGAAACUCCCUUAUAUCCUCGCAUCAGAUUUAUGCAUGAAAAUUAAGCGUGCACUCUCAACCAACAUACACAAAUUAGUUUUAAUUCAAAUGGACAAGUAAAUUGAAUUCACAACUGAAGGUAAUCAAAUCAUAUUGCAAGUAUGAACAUGGUUUCGAAUUCCCCCCUACCUAAAGGGGGUUUAGUUCCUCAUACUUACAAAGCAACGAUAAACAAAUUUAGACAUUGAAAACAAAAGAAAGAAGACAUCUAAACGCUCCAACGAUCCAAGUUGGACAGCAUGCACGUCCAAACACUUUCCUUCCCUUCCUUUGCUACGACACAAGGUAUUGGUAAGUGUUUGAAGGUUUGGUUGUAUAGAGGAAUAGAUGUGUUUGGAUGAAAGUUGUAUUGGAAUGGGGAUGAAUUCUCAAGCAAAAACUGAAUGUAAUGGCUGCCACACACACUUCCUUUUAUAGAGGAAAUGCAUGGCAUGGAGGGAUGGAUGGUGGUGUGAGCAAUGAUUCAAAGGUGAAAGUGAAGUAAUGAUGCAAAGCAUGGGGGGUGAAAUGGAGUGGUGUUACAUCUAUGAAUGCAAGUAGGGAAUAUGAAUGAUUGUGCACAUGAUAGAUAAAGGAAAGGGAGGUGGAAUGGUGCAGAAAUGAGUCAUAGGUGCAGGUUGAUUCAUGAUGCACGGCAUGGGCAAGGAAAGUGAAGGAGUGGUGCAUCAAUGAGUGCAUGUAGUGGAGGUGAAAGUGAAUGAAAUAUGAUGGGUGAAGGGGACAAAGGAUGUGCACCAAUUGAGUGCAAUGAUUAAAUGUAAUGGUGCAUGAAAACAGAAAUAAUGAAGG